AAUUAGAUGGCUGAUAAAAGCAAUAAAUUGUAAAUUUAUUUAUAAGACUAUAUUCUUUCUGAUUA
rnacentral:tRNA from 1 species